GCGGGAGUAACUCAGUGGUAGAGUGCCACCUUGCCAAGGUGGACGUCGAGGGUUCGAAUCCCUUCUCCCGCUCCA
rnacentral:tRNA from 2 species